rnacentral:rRNA from 1 species
CCUACGGGGGGCUGCAGUGAGGAAUAUUGGACAAUGGUCGGAAGACUGAUCCAGCCAUGCCGCGUGCAGGAUGACGGCCUUAUGGGUUGUAAACUGCUUUUGUAAGGGAAGAAUAAGGAGUACGUGUACUUUGAUUACGGUACCUUAUGAAUAAGCAUCGGCUAACUCCGUGCCAGCAGCCGCGGUAAUACGGAGGAUGCGAGCGUUAUCCGGAAUCAUUGGGUUUAAAGGGGCUGUAGGCGGGCUGGUAAGUCAGAGGUGAAAGCGCUUAGCUCAACUGAGCAACUGCCUUUGAAACUGUUGGUCUUGAAUGGUUGUGAAGUAGUUGGAAUGUGUAGUGUAGCGGUGAAAUACUUAGAUAUUACACAGAACACCGAUAGCGAAGGCAGAUUACUAACGAUUGAUUGACGCUGAUGGACGAAAGCGUGGGGAGCGAACAGGAUUAGAUACCCCGGUAGUC